CACUUUCACACACACACACAAAACCAUGAUGUCUCUUUAUCUUAUGCUGGGGACACUGAGUCUACUUUCUCAAGUGUCCCAUCAAGAGGUCCAGUCUCCUGAAUCUCUGUCUGUUAGAGUUGGAGAUUCUCCCUCUAUUAAAUGUACUGGGACGAGUGGAGUCGAUGAUGACAUGAGCUGGUAUCUGCUGAAACCUGGAGAAGCUCCUAAACUCCUGAUCUACGAAGCCAGUAGCCUUGAAUCUGGAGUUUCAGAUCGGUUCAGUGGAAGUCAAUCUGGACUCCAUUUUACACUGACCAUUGGAGGAGUCCAGCCUGAGGAUGCAGGAGAUUAUUACUGUAUGGGGGCUUACAGUGGCAGGAGUGUAUCUUCAUCGUCACUGUGGUUCAGCUAUGAAAGCGGACAUCAGAAGACUACAAAGGACAGUUCGGCAGGUGCUACAAAGCGCUGAGCACAGAACCAUCAGGCACAAGAACAUUUUUUUCCCUCUGGCUGUCCAUCUCAUGAACUGUUAAAACUGCCCCAUUAAGUAAUAAUUAUGCCAAUACACAUCUUAGUUAUGUAUAUUUAUCUAACAUCUCCUACCA